CUAUAGCGACGGUUUUUACUGUCGCUAUACAUCUACAACGAUAUUUUUAUUGUGAAAAUAAUAAAAAAUAAUGUGAAUUUAACAAUUUCUUUUAUUUAUUAUGUGACUCGAGCCCCUUAGCUAAGGUCAAUGUUUACCUGCUAGUACAUAUAUGUUUGCCUAAAUAAUUUUCUUGCAUAAUAAAUAUGUGGGCCUUAAGGAAAAAGGAGAAAAUGGCGUUAAUGUUGACCAGACUUUGUCCACUCAUUUUACAGGUUCCAUAUUAGUAUAAGGUUAUAGGGCAGAAGAAAAUGAUUUUAAAUUUGAUAUACUGUCGUACACGACACGACAGGUGUUUGAAGUAAGAAUCAUGACAAAUUAAAUGAUAUACACGACAAAUUGAU
rnacentral:lncRNA from 1 species